rnacentral:lncRNA from 1 species
GUGCGCCCGCGCCGCGCCGCCCGCCCGGGCCCGCCGCGCGCGCCGACCGCCGCGUCACGCUGAGGAUGAAGGUGGCGGGUGGCAACCCGGACGGCUCCCGCGUUUGGUCAGUAGCUGCGCCCGCGCCGCGCUCGCUGCAGCUGCGCGCGCAGCUGCCGCAGUCCGUGGCCGUGCUCAACGGCCGCAGGUUCAUCGUGGUGCCCCGGGACAUACGCGUCGCCAAAUAACACGAGGACGACGGCUCUUGUGAAAAAAUCAUUGUUAAUUUAUAGCCAUAGAUUAAAAAUGAGGUUUAUAAUAUCCUCAAUACAUAGACAAGGAACUCAAUCAUUGGUUUGGCAUGAAAUUUGAGCUAUAUAACCAUUUAGCUUGUGAUAAAUUCGUUGUAAAUUUUAGUUGUAAAGGGUAUGAUUUGAUACCAAAAACUAAAUGUCUGGUCGCUUAAAAUUGUUAAUUUAAAAUUUAAAAUGGUUCUUUAUUUGAAUAGUCAUUUAAUUUUUUUUAUUAUUUUACAGAAGGCAUAGGUAUUAAGGUGUUAUAGGGUUUAAGACGUAUGCCGUGCCUGAAUAUUUUAACGCAUAUAAGCUAAAAUAAUCACAACUCUCCACGUUUCGCUUGAAAUGCUUUUGUAUUCGGGCUUGCGAUCGGUCAGAUUUUUUAGCGUCGAACAUAUUGUAGGUUUAGUAUUUUGAGAGAAGUAAGUCCUAGAGAAAUCAAAUAUUAUGAUGAUAAAAUUGAAUGCAACUUUAUCUGAUUUGUUUGAUUUGAUUCCUGAGAAAUCUGAUCAGUCUUAAAUGAUACGAAUAAUCACAAUUUUUAGCUUAUAAUAAAGUAAAAUAGUUAUUAAUGAAUACAGAAGCGAGUACCUAUGUUCUGUUAUUGCGCCGGAAAUGUUUUGAAGAAUUUUAUCGAAGAAAAUUCGACCUUGAAGAUGUCUGAAGAUAAAUUCUUGGACUCCACGCGUAGACACUGGUAGUCUUUAUUAAAUAUGAAGAUUAUAUGUAUGAAAUAGUCCUUAAUGUUUGGUAGAAAUCAAUGCAUUUAUUUGGCAAAUGUACCAAGUGCCUUCAUACACAACAAAAUAUGUUAUUGUUUAUUAUUUAACGCCUUUUGUAUUGUAAUUUUAAGAAAUAAUAGUGCAUGUAUAUAGGUAUACAUUAUAUUGGUUACUCCAUUAGUUAUUGUAAUGCAAUAAUAUGUGGCCUUCCAGUCUUUUCAAGACUGUUGGCUCUGUCUACCCCGUAAGGGAUAUAGACGUGAUUAUAGUAUGUAUGCAUUUAUGAAACAAUACGACGCGAUUCGACGGAGUUUUACAUUAUGUACCCCCAUAAAAAAGAGUGAAAGAAAAAAAUGUUUGACAUAUUCAGUUAAGCAACUCAGGCAGAGCGCUUGUCCUUCAUACUAGAAUAUAUGUACAUAUUUUUUUACAAUGGGUUUAAACUUUUAUUUUCUCUUUUAUUAAUGCUCAUAUAAAUAUCAAUAAAUUCAAAUUAAAAUAUUUUAUGAUCUCAUUUGGUAUUUGGUAUUUCACUAUUGGCGGACUUUGUCGUAUCGCGUCGCGUCGCAAUAUGUCGCAAAAAAGCGUUCAAACUAUUAUCUUAUUUUUUUAUUAUUAAACGUGAAUUAUAUCCUGUAUUUAAAAGUAAUUUGUAUCGAUUGUUUUAGUUUGAAAGUUUCCUAUUUUAUGCGAUUAUCUUUCAGAUUGUAAUGAGAUUUGAUAAUGAAAUGUCGAAUCUUUCAUCAACGUCAUUGUCUUUUUGAAAGACUUAGAAAAAGAAAUAUAUGAAAAAAGUUACCGAUUUUUUAAAUUUUUUUCUAAGUAUUAUGGGAGAUACUUAGAAAUAUAAACACAAAAUAUGAGAACGAAAAAAUAACCUCGAAUGACGGUUUUUUUAAUUUCUCAUAUUGGCUAAUUAGUGAAAGAUAAUUUUUGCCUUUCCCCUAUAUCUCUUUCUAAUGACAAAACUAAGAGAUUACUGACAGUAUUUUUAUCUGCGUUGGGUCAAUCUAAAUAACCUUAAAUAUGUUCGUUAAGUAUGUACGCCUUAUUUUGUUUUUCAUUUGGUCAACCAAUCAGAAUCCUUCAUCGUUCGCGAACGCAAUCUGAUUGGACGACUCCUGCACGUCUCCGUAAUAUACCCAAGUGCAAAAAGUGGGUUAUGUGUUUUUUGUGUGUUUCAAAGAAAAUGUAUCAAACCGUUGCGGUGUUCACGAAAUAAAUUAUUACUAUUUAUUUAUACGGGUUUUACGUACGACUUGUCAAAUGCAAAUCGGAAGAGAAAGGUAAUGUAUUUUCUUUUUAAUCUUUUUUUGGAAAUAUUUUUUUGUUUUUUUUAGAGCCAGCGCACACUCAAGAUUUUUAGUCGUCCGAAUGAACAAUAGUCAAUAUGUAUAUAAAUAAUGUAGUGCGUUAUAUUUUAUAUUUAACGCAUUUCUAUUAUAGCAGAAACCGACUAAAUUGUCGACUGAUUAAUAAUCCCCAGUCUGCGCUGUCUCUAAUACAUUAUUAUUCACCUUAAAUAUAAGAUGACAAAACAAUAUUAGACUCUUAUUUUUAGUACUGUAUAAUAUAUUUUAAUUUUUUUCACC